rnacentral:lncRNA from 1 species
GUCCGACUUUGUUGCCCAACCUUAUAGACGUGCCUGACCAUUCUCUUACCCAUAAAAUUAUGAACCUUCAGUCCAAAAAUCAACUAGAAAUGAAUCGGGACGAGUUGGCAAUUGAGGUAUUACCGAACGCCUAGUCGGUUGGAAAAUGGUGAUUUCGGCUGCUACAGUGCUCAUUUCAGAAAACGUGCUGCACCGCAUUGAUCAACACAAUAUUCUGCACAAUCUUAGAAAAUUUCAUAAUUUUCUGAGCAAGUCCAAUUUUGGCCAAAAUUCGAGGCCAACAGCAGCCGGCCAGCGAUCAUCUGGUAGCCCUUGGACGACUUUUGUUCAAAAUGCUCAACCAGUUAAUUUGAGUUCAUUUUUUUCAUCGAUUUUCCCACAUGAGGCACAAACAGCACUAAACCAAGGUCGGAUGACCUAUGCCACUGUAGUUUCUAGUCGUCCGGGGUUGACUCAGGUUGAGAGAAAUUCACGAAAAUCAUUUGCAUCAGUUUUACAAGCUAUCGAUGACUCUUUGAAUGCUGGGUUCACUACCAAGGAACCAUUUACUCAUUUGGGCAAGCCGACAAUUGAGUUAACCGAUUAGAAGGAGGUUCUUUUGGCCGAUCCCAAUAAGUACACACUUGUAGGAAAAUUUUCCCACCAAAAGUCGACCAUUUAGAAGGUACGCGAGAACUUUUUUAUGUUUAGUUUUCAUGGUUUCUUUGAGAAGGGAUUAAUUGACAAUGCACAUAUACUGAUCCAUUUUACUUAUUAGGAAUACUACAGUAGGCUCUUCCUUAAGCCACUUUAGUAUAUUGAUAGAUGUCCUAUGAGGGUCCUUAAGUGGACUUGUGAUUUCAGACCAGAGUAGGAGACUCUGAUUGUUCCCGUUUGGAUUUCAUUUCCUUUGCUUUCGGUACAUUUGCGUGCCAACUUGCUUUAUCUAGGGCAAUAGGAAUGCCCUUGAGGAUCGAUGAGGCCACCUCAGAUUUGUGACGACCUAGUGAGGCUAGGAUGUGUAUAGAAGUGAAUCUGGGGCUUAAGUUACCCGAUAGAGUAUGGAUUGAGCAAGGUGGUAACCACGACUUUUAGCAGGCAAUCUAUAUGAGAGGGGACUGACAUUUUAUUUUUCUUGUAAACACUUCGACCAUCCAUCUGAUCAGUGUACUUCGAAGGUACCACCAUCUCCUCCAGUUGUUGUGCCGCCACUAGUUCAGCCCCCUUUCUACCGAGACUGGCACUAAUAGGGUUGAGAAGGGUAAAGGCAAUGUUACUUUCAUUCAGCCAAUGAGGCGGAGGGUACCAGUUUCGGUAGUGCCUCAUAUGCUUCACUAACCCUAUUGCAGUUGUGGCAGAGUCAACUACUGCAUCAACAAAUCCUACCCUAAUUCGUACCACAAGUACUACAGGGGUAACACCAAUUGUUCUCCUAGUCAAACAGUCUACACCAGAGAUCCCUCCCAUCGUCCAUGAGAGCACCCCAAGGAUUCUUAUUCAAAAUCAGACAGUUGCUCCCUUUGUGGUUGAGGAUACGACAGAGAUAGCACUUAUUGAUCAACCACUUGCUGAGCCUACUCUAGAGGCUCCUAUUGAGAUCGAUUCCCAGGUCUCUCAUUCACCACAGAUGUCAGGUACCAGCGGUACAUUGAGGGGCUUGAAGGCUAAGCCUUAGGCGAAUCAAAUGUUGAUCAACCACUUCAAGAAGACCAAUGGCAUCAAAAUGGGAGCUUCCAUGAGAGAUGCGAUUGAUGACCUAGUUGGCAAGCUCUUCAAUGACAAAUCAUCACCUAGCCCUACCAUCACGCCUAGACAGGAUAAGUUGGAUGCUCAAAUUCAGAGUGACAUGAAUGGCAUGGGUCUCGAAAAUUGCGGAAAGAAUAAUAAUAUAGAUGUACCUUCAGUUAGCGAGUCACUCCCACAUGCGUUAGAUAUUGUAGCACCUGUGAAGAUCACCAUGAGAUCAUCACCUGCUUUUUG